rnacentral:rRNA from 1 species
UACGGAGGGUGCAAGCGUUAAUCGGAAUUACUGGGCGUAAAGCGUGCGCAGGCGGUUUGUUAAGUCUGUUGUGAAAUCCCUGAGCUCAACUUGGGAAUUGCAAUGGAUACUGGCAGGCUGGAGUAUGGUAGAGGAAGGUGGAAUUCCCGGUGUAGCAGUGAAAUGCGUAGAGAUCGGGAGGAACACCAGUGGCGAAGGCGGCCUUCUGGACCAAUACUGACGCUCAUGCACGAAAGCGUGGGGAGCAAACAGG